AAGUCGUAACAAGGUUCCGUAGGUGAACCUGUGGAAGGCGCAGUCACGAUCGCUGGAGGCCGACACGGCCGGCGACCGGGUCACCGGGCAUAGACCCCCCUAUCACCAUGAAAACGGGCUGCGCUUAAUUGUGCGGUCGAACAACUGUUAACAAUGGAUAUCAUGGUUCUC
rnacentral:misc_RNA from 1 species